CUUUUCUUCAAGCAGACGACAACAUACGAUGAAGGAACAUUCAUGGAGUUUACUUCCGCUGAAGCUUGGAGGUUGGACUUGCGAUUUUUUCGCCUCAGUCAGUAACAGAAACCGAUGAUGAUAGCGAUGCCGACGAUGAUGAAAAGGA